AUGUGGUUUAAUUCGAAGCAACGCGAAGAACCUUACCAGGCCUUGACAUGCAGAGAACUUUCCAGAGAUGGAUUGGUGCCUUCGGGAACUCUGACACAGGUGCUGCAUGGCUGUCGUCGGCUCGUGUCGUGAGAUGUUGGGUUAAGUCCCGUAACGAGCGCAACCCUUGUCCUUAGUUACCAGCACGUUAUGGUGGGCACUCUAAGGAGACUGCCGGUGACAAACCGGAGGAAGGUGGGGAUGACGUCAAGUCAUCAUGGCCCUUACGGCCUGGGCUACACACGUGCUACAAUGGUCGGUACAAAGGGUUGCCAAGCCGCGAGGUGGAGCUAAUCCCAUAAAACCGAUCGUAGUCCGGAUCGCAGUCUGCAACUCGACUGCGUGAAGUCGGAAUCGCUAGUAAUCGUGAAUCAGAAUGUCACGGUGAAUACGUUCCCGGGCCUU
rnacentral:rRNA from 1 species